GAGAGUUUGAUCAUGGCUCAGGAUGAACGCUGGCGGCGUGCUUAACACAUGCAAGUCGAACGAACGACUAUUAACAGAACCUUUCGGGGCGAAGAUGAUAGAAGUUAGUGGCGGACGGGUGCGUAACGCGUGGGUAAUCUGCCUUUGUCAAAGGAAUAACUAUUCGAAAGAAUAGCUAAAACCAUAUAACAUAUUAAUAGGGCAUCCUAAUAAUAUCAAAACUGAGGUGGACAAAGAUGAGCCCGCGUCUGAUUAGCUAGUUGGUGAGAUAAAAGCCCACCAAGGCAACGAUACAUAGCCGACCUGAGAGGGUGAUCGGCCACACUGGGACUGAGACACGGCCCAGACUCCUACGGGAGGCAGCAGUAGGGAAUCUUCGGCAAUGGGGGCAACCCUGACCGAGCAACGCCGCGUGAGUGAAGAAGGUUUUCGGAUCGUAAAGCUCUGUUGUAAGUCAAGAACGAGUGUGAGAGUGGAAAGUUCACACUGUGACGGUAGCUUACCAGAAAGGGACGGCUAACUACGUGCCAGCAGCCGCGGUAAUACGUAGGUCCCGAGCGUUGUCCGGAUUUAUUGGGCGUAAAGCGAGCGCAGGCGGUUUGAUAAGUCUGAAGUUAAAGGCUGUGGCUCAACCAUAGUUCGCUUUGGAAACUGUCAAACUUGAGUGCAGAAGGGGAGAGUGGAAUUCCAUGUGUAGCGGUGAAAUGCGUAGAUAUAUGGAGGAACACCGGUGGCGAAAGCGGCUCUCUGGUCUGUAACUGACGCUGAGGCUCGAAAGCGUGGGGAGCGAACAGGAUUAGAUACCCCGGUAGUCCACGCCGUAAACGAUGAGUGCUAGGUGUUGGAUCCUUUCCGGGAUUCAGUGCCGCAGCUAACGCAUUAAGCACUCCGCCUGGGGAGUACGACCGCAAGGUUGAAACUCAAAGGAAUUGACGGGGGCCCGCACAAGCGGUGGAGCAUGUGGUUUAAUUCGAAGCAACGCGAAGAACCUUACCAGGUCUUGACAUCCCGAUGCAAUUUCUAGAGAUAGAAAGUUACUUCGGUACAUCGGUGACAGGUGGUGCAUGGUUGUCGUCAGCUCGUGUCGUGAGAUGUUGGGUUAAGUCCCGCAACGAGCGCAACCCCUAUUGUUAGUUGCCAUCAUUCAGUUGGGCACUCUAGCGAGACUGCCGGUAAUAAACCGGAGGAAGGUGGGGAUGACGUCAAAUCAUCAUGCCCCUUAUGACCUGGGCUACACACGUGCUACAAUGGUUGGUACAACGAGUUGCGAGUCGGUGACGGCAAGCUAAUCUCUUAAAGCCAAUCUCAGUUCGGAUUGUAGGCUGCAACUCGCCUACAUGAAGUCGGAAUCGCUAGUAAUCGCGGAUCAGCACGCCGCGGUGAAUACGUUCCCGGGCCUUGUACACACCGCCCGUCACACCACGAGAGUUUGUAACACCCGAAGUCGGUGAGGUAACCUUUUGGAGCCAGCCGCCUAAGGUGGGAUAGAUGAUUGGGGUGAAGUCGUAACAAGGUAGCCGUAUCGGAAGGUGCGGCUGGAUCACCU
rnacentral:rRNA from 1 species